rnacentral:rRNA from 1 species
UACAGAGGUCCCAAGCGUUGUUCGGAUUCAUUGGGCGUAAAGGGCGCGUAGGCGGCAAGGCAAGUCGGGUGUGAAAGCUUGGGGCUUAACCCCGAAAGGGCACUCGAAACUGCCCUGCUAGAGGGCCGGAGAGGAGAUCGGAAUUCAUGGUGUAGCAGUGAAAUGCGUAGAGAUCAUGAGGAAGACCAGUGGCGAAGGCGGGUCUCUGGACAGUUCCUGACACUGAGACACGAAGGCCAGGGGAGCAAACGGG